UACGUAGGGACCAAGCGUUGUUCGGAUUUACUGGGCGUAAAGGGCGCGUAGGCGGCAAUUCAAGUCAGUUGUGAAAUCUCCGGGCUUAACUCGGAACGGUCAACUGAUACUGCGCGGCUAGAGUGCAGAAGGGGCAACUGGAAUUCUCGGUGUAGCGGUGAAAUGCGUAGAUAUCGAGAGGAACACCUGCGGCGAAGGCGGGUUGCUGGGCUGACACUGACGCUGAUGCGCGAAAGCCAGGGGAGCGAACGGG
rnacentral:rRNA from 1 species